UACGUAGGGGGCAAGCGUUGUCCGGAAUCAUUGGGCGUAAAGCGCGUGUAGGCGGCUCGAUAAGUCUGCUGUGAAAGUCCAAGGCUCAACCUUGGGAUGCCGGUGGAUACUGUCGAGCUCGAGUCCGGAAGAGGAGUGUGGAAUUCCUGGUGUAGCGGUGAAAUGCGCAGAUAUCAGGAAGAACACCCGUGGCGAAGGCGGCUCUCUGGGACGGUACUGACGCUGAGGCGCGAAAGCGUGGGGAGCAAACAGG
rnacentral:rRNA from 1 species